AACUUUUAUCGGUGGAUCUCUUAGCUCGUGCAUGGAUGAAGAACGCAGCCAGCUGCGAUACGUAGUGUGAAUUGCAAAAUUCAGUGAAUCAUUAAAUUUUUGAAGGCAAAUGGCGCUCUCGUUUAUAUCGGGAGCAUGUCUGUCUGAGUGUUG
rnacentral:rRNA from 1 species